rnacentral:rRNA from 1 species
CAGUAGCCGCGGGAAUACGUAGGGUGCAAGCGUUAAUCGGAAUUACUGGGCGUAAAGCGUGCGCAGGCGGUUAUAUAAGACAGAUGUGAAAUCCCCGGGCUCAACCUGGGAACUGCAUUUGUGACUGUAUAGCUAGAGUACGGCAGAGGGGGAUGGAAUUCCGCGUGUAGCAGUGAAAUGCGUAGAUAUGCGGAGGAACACCGAUGGCGAAGGCAAUCCCCUGGGCCUGUACUGACGCUCAUGCACGAAAGCGUGGGGAGCAAACAGGAUUAGAUACCCCGGUAGUCCUGUCUCUUAUACC